AGUUGUAUGGAGAAACCCCUGGCUCUGAUCACUUUGGAGACAUGGCCCUGGGCCAGGGAGUAGGUGGCUUGUGUCUGGUCCUCUGUCAUAUGCUGGAAGUAUCUGGUCAAAUCAUGGCCCUUGGAGGAGUUGAUCUCACCCAGGUUAGGGCGACCACAGGAUAUUGAUGCUUUAAUCUCUACCCUGAGUGCAUUCCAGGAUGCUGGGCCCUGAGACUGCUGUAGUAGUGGGAGGCCUGGGAUCCCAGCCCCAACCCCCAGCUUCCGUGGGCCUCCACCACUGCUGCAUCAACUCCACUGCUUCCCUUCCAGGUUCUUGAGGGAGGCCUGUGGCUUUUCAUUUACUCCCCAGCUGGAGGCUCCCGGCCUGUCUGGGACUCACAGACCCUGGAGAAUGACAAGAAGAGCCUCGGAUAUCAGACCCCGGCAGGUUUGCCGGUCUUGGUACUGCCCUCCUGGAGAGAUGUCUUGCCUUGUGGAGAGGCUGUUCCUGUCAGUGAGUGGCCCUGUGUCAGUGGGGAUGCGAGGUGCCUGCCCAGCUUGACUGCUGCCCGGCUGCCCAGGCUACCCAUGUGUUCUGUGAGAUUCCGUUUCUAGAUAUUUCUUGGGGAAGCCAUGCUCUUUGUCAAUUUUCCCUCCUGUUUUGAACUAGCUGAAACACCUUCCCUCAUAGUUGGUUAAGGGCUGGGGUUGGGGCUUCUCUCAUGCCACCACCCCGCCACACUCAUUUCUGGUCUUACAUGGGCAGCUGAUGAUAUGCCCAAGGGCUGUGGCCACUUCCCUCCACUGUCCUGUCACCUGGCAGUCCAUGGAUCUCCAGCGAUCAUGGCUGCUGUGCCUGGGUUACCUAGGCCCUGAGUCUUUCCAUCUCCAUCCCUCCUCCUUUCCAUCCUCAAGAUUGUUCCAGACCAGUUCCACCCAAGUGGCACCACCCCACAGGGAAGUCUCUCAGAAUUGGCUGUCCUUUCCACUGACCACUGACACAACCCAGGAGUGCAGCUAACCCCACAGGGCAGGGCUGGUGUCCUGGCAGGGCCAUCAGUCACCCCUGAUGACCUAUGGCAUCCAUCCUGGAGAGGACUACAGGCAGACAGACCCAGACAUUGCCUUGAGGGAACCUGGAUGGAAUUGGAGGAGGCAGGAGGAACACACAGAAAUCACCACGGGCCACCCUAACAGCUCUCAAGACAGCAGAAAGAAGAAUCAGCCAGGAGCCUGAGGCAGGGACAGAUGGGGCACAUAGAGAGCACCUCCUCUAGGGACCUCAGAUCCAGUCUGAAGGAUGAAACUCUGGGGUGAGCAUCGUCGUGGAUGGUGCCUGAGGCCCUGGUGGAAAGAGAUGAGGAGAAAGGGCGGAGUGUGGCAGAAUUGAACUUCACCCAGCGUGGGCUGUGGCAUUCCCCUGUGCCACCGUGAGGGCAGAGUGCAGGGUUCUAAAGCCUGGGUUCAGUCUCAUCAGCACCAAGGCUGCUGGGAGCCUGAUGUAUCCAGCACUGUCAGAGGCUUGGUUGUCAUCCCUGACCAGCAAGAACGGGCUUGGGUGGAUGGGACUGUCUUUUCUAUCCUCCAUAAUGUCCAUUCUUUCCAGAUGUGGUUCGGUCUGCCUGGAUGGUGCUGGGCCUGUCCCUUAGAGGUCAAGCCUUCUACUUUCCUGGGGUGGGUGCUGGCUUCUUCCCACCUCACCCAUGUGCCCUGUCUCUACCCUGCCAGUUGGUGAUCCCUUCUGCGGUCCCAUCUGCUCCCUGGCUGGCACAGGAGGCACCUGCUGGUCAGUCAAGCACUGUGUCUUCUUAGAGAAGACCCCCGCUGAUUGCCCAUGAGGUCUGAUUUUAAUGGGAACACCCCUUUCGGAGGAGAGGUUUAUGGUCUGGAUCCUGCUCAGCUUCUCAGCUCUGUUCUCCAACAAGUCUCUGAGGCUCUGAGAUUAAGUUUUCUUGGCUGAAAAAAAAUGGGUGGUUUUCACCCAUUUUUGGACCACGAUAGGACCUCAAUCUCUAAUGCAACAUGGAGAGCAGGCAGAGCCCAUGCGGGGCUGGAGAAACUCGGUGGGAGAAGCUGGCAGCCGUGUGAGGCAGAAUGGCUCAGAAGUCACUCUGAUCUCACUGCCAAUCCAAGAGGCUGAUGGGAAGAGUUGGGUCUUAAUUACUGUGGGAGGGAUGGAGUGAGGAUGGGGGCUGGAGGGGGGGCUCUCAAUCCUUGGUGGGUCUUUAAUGAAGCUUUCAGUGUGCUUAAAAAAUAAAUGAAGAUAAUUUUUUUGAAAGCCCCUUUUAAAGAUUUUUGGCAGGCCUGAUUAGUGAAUUUUGAAAGCCUUAAGCCAACCGUUGAUCGGCCAACCCCCUUGACAGCUGGUGAGCGGAGACAGCCACACAGCCAUCCAACCUGGCCUUUCCCUUUUUGGAUGACCUUUCCCUAGGUGGUUCACUGGCUCAAGCCAUGAUGACCCCAUCCCCCUCCUGAGCUGCCCUGCAGAUGCAGCCACGCCAACCAGGCAGAUGGACAUAGUGAACUUCAGGGUUCGACUGGCCUCUCGUGGAACUCUGAAAGCUCUCAUGGAAGAAGAUCCAAGAGGAACCACAGGAUAUAUUUGGGGGUGUGGAGGCAGGGGGACCGAAGACCUCUCUCAAACCAUGAAGUCCUCUCAGGAGCCAUCUGAUUACAUGGCCUCAGCUCAGACAUCCUCCCUAGGAAGAAUUGUCCAUGCUGUUUUAAGAGUCCAGGUUGGGGACUAGCAGGUCUGGAGUCAAACCCAGAGAUCACCUCCUUUCAUCUGUGAAGCUUUUAUGGUCCAGAACUUCUCUGGACUCUGUUUUGAUGUCUACAAAUUGGGGACAAUUAGACUGGCUUCACAGGGCUGUCACUAGCUACAGAUGAGUGGUGAAACUGUCUAGCACACAGUGAGUGGCCCUCCCCUUCACUUUACUUUCUCCUACCAGGAGUCACGGAAAAGAUCAGUCUCACAAGCAGGAGAGGGAAAGCCUCAAAUCAGAUUCACAUAGAGAAUAAAGUAUUGAGG
rnacentral:lncRNA from 1 species